rnacentral:rRNA from 1 species
CAUGCAAGUCGAGGGGAAACGGCAUUGAGUGCUUGCACUCUUUGGACGUCGACCGGCGCACGGGUGAGUAACGCGUAUCCAACCUUCCCAUUACUGUGGGAUAACCUGCCGAAAGGCAGACUAAUACCGCAUAGUCUUCGAUGACGGCAUCAGAUUUGAAGUAAAGAUUUAUCGGUAAUGGAUGGGGAUGCGUCUGAUUAGCUUGUUGGCGGGGUAACGGCCCACCAAGGCAACGAUCAGUAGGGGUUCUGAGAGGAAGGUCCCCCACAUUGGAACUGAGACACGGUCCAAACUCCUACGGGAGGCAGCAGUGAGGAAUAUUGGUCAAUGGACGGAAGUCUGAACCAGCCAAGUAGCGUGCAGGAUGACGGCCCUAUGGGUUGUAAACUGCUUUUGUAUGGGGAUAAAGUUAGGGACGUGUCCCUAUUUGCAGGUACCAUACGAAUAAGGACCGGCUAAUUCCGUGCCAGCAGCCGCGGUAAUACGGAAGGUCCAGGCGUUAUCCGGAUUUAUUGGGUUUAAAGGGAGCGUAGGCUGGAGAUUAAGUGUGUUGUGAAAUGUAGACGCUCAACGUCUGAAUUGCAGCGCAUACUGGUUUCCUUGAGUACGCACAACGUUGGCGGAAUUCGUCGUGUAGCGGUGAAAUGCUUAGAUAUGACGAAGAACUCCGAUUGCGAAGGCAGCUGACGGGAGCGCAACUGACGCUUAAGCUCGAAGGUGCGGGUAUCAAACAGGAUUAGAUACCCUGGUAGUCCGCACAGUAAACGAUGGAUGCCCGCUGUUGGUACCUGGUAUCAGCGGCUAAGCGAAAGCAUUAAGCAUCCCACCUGGGGAGUACGCCGGCAACGGUGAAACUCAAAGGAAUUGACGGGGGCCCGCACAAGCGGAGGAACAUGUG